GUUGGCAUAGUGCAGUGGUUAGCACGUCUCGUUGUGGCCGAGGAAACCUAGGUUCAAAUCCUAAUACCGACA
rnacentral:tRNA from 1 species